UACGUAGGGUGCAAGCGUUGUCCGGAAUUAUUGGGCGUAAAGAGCUCGUAGGCGGUUUGUUGCGUCGGCUGUGAAAUCCCGAGGCUCAACCUCGGGUCUGCAGUCGAUACGAGCAAACUAGAGUGUUGCAGGGGAGACUGGAAUUCCUGGUGUAGCGGUGAAAUGCGCAGAUAUCAGGAGGAACACCGGUGGCGAAGGCGGGUCUCUGGACCUGUACUGACGCUCAUGCACGAAAGCGUGGGGAGCAAACAGG
rnacentral:rRNA from 1 species